rnacentral:rRNA from 1 species
UACGUAGGGUGCGAGCGUUAAUCGGAAUUACUGGGCGUAAAGUGUGCGCAGGCGGCCGCGCAAGUCGAGUGUGAAAGCCCCGAGCUUAACUUGGGAAUUGCGCUCGAAACUACGUGGCUGGAGUGUGGCAGGGGAAGGUGGAAUUCCACGUGUAGCGGUGAAAUGCGUAGAGAUGUGGAGGAACACCAAUGGCGAAGGCAGCCUUCUGGGCCAACACUGACGCUCAUGCACGAAAGCGUGGGGAGCAAACAGG